GGAUUGUAGGCUGAAACUCGCCUACAUGAAGCUGGAGUUACUAGUAAUCGCAGAUCAGAAUGCUGCGGUGAAUGCGUUCCCGGGUCUUGUACACACCGCCCGUCACACCACGGAAGUUGGGGGCGCCCGAAGCCACUUAGCUAACCCUUUUGGGAAGCGAGUGUCGAAGGUGAAAUCAAUUAACGUGGGGUGAAGUCGUAACAAGGUACC
rnacentral:rRNA from 1 species